GACAUAGGUGGCAAACGUUAUCCGGAAUUAUUGGGCGUAAAGAGCGUGUAGGCGGCCAGGUAGGUCUGGUGUGAAAACUCGAGGCUCAACCUCGAGAGGUCAUCGGAAACCAUCUGGCUAGAGUCCGGAAGAGGAGAGUGGAAUUCCCGGUGUAGCGGUGAAAUGCGCAGAUAUCGGGAAGAACACCUAUGGCGAAGGCAGCUCUCUGGGACGGUACUGACGCUGAGACGCGAAAGCGUGGGGAGCGAACAGG
rnacentral:rRNA from 1 species